GGACGAACGCUGGCGGCGUGCUUAACACAUGCAAGUCGAACGCUGAAGCUCAGCUUUUGUUGGGUGGAUGAGUGGCGAACGGGUGAGUAACACGUGAGUAACCUGCCCCCUUCUUUGGGAUAACGCCCGGAAACGGGUGCUAAUACUGGAUAUUCACUGGUCUUCGCAUGGGGGUUGGUGGAAAGGGUUUUUCUGGUGGGGGAUGGGCUCGCGGCCUAUCAGCUUGUUGGUGGGGUGAUGGCCUACCAAGGCUUUGACGGGUAGCCGGCCUGAGAGGGUGACCGGUCACAUUGGGACUGAGAUACGGCCCAGACUCCUACGGGAGGCAGCAGUGGGGAAUAUUGCACAAUGGGCGCAAGCCUGAUGCAGCGACGCCGCGUGAGGGAUGGAGGCCUUCGGGUUGUGAACCUCUUUCGCUCAUGGUCAAGCCGCAACAAUGGUUGUGGUGAGGGUAGUGGGUAAAGAAGCGCCGGCUAACUACGUG
rnacentral:rRNA from 1 species